CUAGUAUGCUUUCCAUCAUGAAACUGUCAAAGGAGAUCAAAUCACCAGACUUUCUUUCCAAUUGCUGUUCUCGUAAUCGCAAAUUGUAGUGAAUAUAGGCAAGCUCAUUCCAUCUCUUUUGAGACAGACUGUCUUUUGCUGUGAACUUGGUCAUAUGUACUCCAAGUAUGUUCACAUCCAAGGGAUGAACAUGUCUGGCUCAGUAUGCGUAUAGCAAUUAGUUGAAGCUCCAAGCAACUUAUUCCAUGCUGUUGCCACCAAGCAGCUGGAUCAAGCUCUAUUCU
rnacentral:misc_RNA from 1 species